UACGUAUGGUGCGAACGUUGUUCGGAAUCACUGGGCAUAAAGAGCACGUAGGCGGUUAAGCAAGUCCAUUGUGAAAUCCCCCGGCCUAACCGGGGAACUGCAUUGGAUACUACUUGACUUGAGUGCAGGAGGGGAGAGUGGAAUUCCAGGUGGAGCGGUGAAAUGCGUAGAUAUCUGGAGGAACGCCGGUGGCGAAGGCGGCCAACUGGACGAAUACUGACGCUGAGACUCGAAAGCGUGGGGAGCAAACAGG
rnacentral:rRNA from 1 species